AAUCGAAGGGUUGCAGGUUCAAUUCCUGUCCGUCUCAGAAGCGGUGGCUCAAUGGUAGAGCUUUCGACUCCAAU
rnacentral:tRNA from 1 species